ACUUAGCAGGUCAUGGAGAAGAUAAUAUACACCUAUCAAGCUCUUAAGUAACAACACAACGAUUCACAUAGUUAAGGACAAAGAUGAAUGGCAUGGAUGUGAAAUGCUGUAAUCUCUCAAAGAAGAAAAACUUCAGCCUGGGGUAAAGAAGGUGAAUUGUAAUUCUCCACCUAACACUGACUUUGGAAAGAUUGGGGCAUUAAGGAUAUACCUGCUUGUAGAUGAUGAGGAGGAGAAAAAGAAGGAUUUCUGUUACUGGGGUGCAGGUGGUGUUUGGUUACAUAAGAGGGGACUUGACAAGAUGAGGGUUCAGCAGACUAAAGUUCACAGGUCAAAGUCAGCCUGGUGCCUGUUUCUGUAUCCCUGCAAGGUAAGAAUGACUUUCACAUUUUUAAAUGGCUGCAAAAAUCAAAAGAUUCAUAUUUCAUUACAUGGGAAAACUGUAAAAAAUUCAAAUUUCAGUGUCCCUUAAUAAAGUAUUAUGAAGACACAACCAUACUUAAUCAUGUAUCUAUCAUCCAUGGUUGCUUUUGUGUUAAUG
rnacentral:lncRNA from 13 species